AUUGAACGCUGGCGGCAUGCUUUACACAUGCAAGUCGAACGGUAACAGGCCGCAAGGUGCUGACGAGUGGCGAACGGGUGAGUAAUGCAUCGGAACGUGCCCAGUCGUGGGGGAUAACGCAGCGAAAGCUGCGCUAAUACCGCAUACGAUCUAUGGAUGAAAGCGGGGGACCGUAAGGCCUCGCGCGAUUGGAGCGGCCGAUGUCAGAUUAGGUAGUUGGGGGGGUAAAGGCUCACCAAGCCAACGAUCUGUAGCUGGUCUGAGAGGACGACCAGCCACACUGGAACUGGGACGAGGCCUAGACUACUACGGGAGGCAGCAGUGGGGAAUUUUGGACAAUGGGCGCAAGCCGGAUCCAGCAAUGCCGCGUGCAGGAAGAAGGCCUUCGGGUUGUAAACUGCUUUUGUACGGAACGAAACGGUCCUGGUUAAUACCUGGGGCUAAUGACGGUACCGUAAGAAUAAGCACCGGCUAACUACGUGCCAGCCGCCGCAGUAACAC
rnacentral:rRNA from 1 species